AAGGCUUCCUAGAAGAUUAAUC
rnacentral:snRNA from 1 species